rnacentral:rRNA from 1 species
CAAAUUUAAAAUCUACCUGGUUUYCAGGUCGAGUUGUAAUUUGAAGAUACGUUUUUGACGUUCCGGGUUGAACUAAAUCCUUUGGGAUAAGGUAUCAUGGAGGGUGAGAAUCCCGUAUAUACCAACCRYAGGGAUGUUAUUUAAUACGUUUCUAAGARUCGAGUUGUUUGGGAAUGCMGCUCYAAAUGGGUGGUAAAUUUCACCUAAUGCUAAAUAUAAGCGAGAGACCGAUAGYGAACAAGUACMGUGAUGGAAAGAUGAAAAGAACUUUGAAAAGAGAGUUAAAUAGUAYGUGAAAUUGUUGAAAGGGAAACGAUUGAAGUCMGUCMUGCCVGUGGGAAUCMACUUWGAGGAAACUCUGAGUGCACUUYUUCSCUUGGCAGGUCAACGUYGAUUUUGGAUGUCAUAAAAUGAUUGGGGGAAGGKAGCYCYYUCGGGAGUGUUAUAGCCCUUGGUAGAUGUGAUGUCUGGGAUCGAGGAUUGCAAUGGAUACCCUUUGGGGCUAGCCGCCUGAUCUCUAAUYGGUAUUGGGUUACGGAUAGCAUGCUGACCGUGAUCUAAUUAUUGGUUAAAAGGUUAG